CGCCGCCGGUCGCGCUCGCAGCCGCCCCGCUCGGCGCACCCACCUCGCUCGAGGUUGGGCGAGCGCGGAAGUAGAGUUCGGGACGGCGGAUCGGAAUCCAUCGACCGAUUCUCUCUUUCUCUCCUCUCCUUUGGAUUCCUGUAGGCGGUGGAUCAAUCUUGCCUUCGUGGUGGCGGCAGAACGAGCGCCGUGAGAUCAGGUGGACCUGCUUCUGAUUCCUCCUGGUGCUUGGGACGUUUUCGGCUAGAUUGAUUUACUAGCUACGUCCAAGCAGGCCACUGGAUUGAUUUCAUGAGGCUUACUAGCUACGUCCCAAUCAAGAUAGCUAGACUUACUAGCUACGUCCCAAGCAGGCCAACCCAAUAUGUUGAUCAAUUUGAUUGUUCUGGCUGGAGGUCAGGAGGUCAGAAGGUGCGUCCUUCACACUAAAUCGUACCCGAAGUUCUACAAUUAGGCAGUGCACUGCGGGAGCGUGUACUGCGACUAUUUCUGCACUGCCGAGGAAGGCUUGAUCUUUCCCACAUGUCCACCUUCUUUACCUUUCCGUUCUUUGAAAUAGAUAAGUUCUGAUAUUCUAACAUUGAUGGAAAAUCAUUAUCUUCUGUAAAGCCACAUUUCAUUUUAUGAUUUUUAGCAGAAGCUCGCUUUGAGUACUUGGUGUGGGGCUGCUGGGGAAGGGAAUGUCCUUCUACUUAGUGAAAGUCGUUGUUGCUGAGGCUGAUUUUACCUUCUUUCUAAGUGUUCUAUUUUAUUAGUGCAAUUGGUUCGAGUUAAACUAACAUCCAUCGUACAAAUAUUUGUGGGACAUAUUCAGAAAUCUGGAAAGAAGCGAGGAUUCUCAAGUAAGAUAAGUCUGCUUACAAAAAUUUGCCUACUGGAAAGUAGAUAAGAGACUCAUGAAGUAAGAAUACAUGCCUACAUAUUAUACAUAGCAGGCUUCUGACUUCUCUGAUUCUGCAAGCCUUGAGGCUGUGAAACAUCUAUGCUAGGUCGCCACACUUCUGCCACCUUCAUUUGAUGAGGUUCAGCGUUCACUACUAUGAAAGAAGAAGGCAUAUAUUUUCCUUGUGGAAUUUCCAGUAGAAUGGCAGUGAGAACGAGUAAAAAUCUACAACAGUAUGACUGUAUGGUUCUCACUCAAAGUAGAGGCCCAACAAACUUUUUUGAAGUAGGAGUCGAAAACUACAAAUCCAUCUAUUCCUAGAAUGGAGCUGGUUGGAGUUGAGCCUACAAUUGAGCGGGUAGUUCGGUGGCACCGACAUCCAGCUGAAAGUUUUAUAGGAGGGUUAGUAAAGCAAAUUUGUUCAUGAGGAAAUGUGCCAGCAAAACAUUGAGUCAGAGUGCAAGACAAAUGCUCUUAACAGUUUUUUUGGUCGCUUUUCUUUAAUUACAAUUCUUAUUAUUUUUAGUUGGCAUUGAUGUACAAAAGAAAAUCCUGUGCCUUUUUUGUCCUCUCAUUGACCAUUGUAUUUUUGAGUCAUAUCAGUCUAUGUAAAAGAAUUCAGUACCUUAUGUUUUGUAUAUUUGGAAAUGUCUAAAGGCGUGGUGUUAUAUAA